ACCGUGGGACGACGUUGGACACCGUGGGACGUCGUGGGACACCGUGGAACACCGUGGGACACCGUGGGACACCAUUGGUUCAGUGUGGAUCUCCAAAUGCCGCGAAAAGAAUUUUGGAUGAUCUACACUGGACUGCAACGUGGGACACCAUUGAACACCGUUGGUCCAGUGUGGAUCACCAAAAAACGCGAAAAGAAUUUUGGAUGAUCUAGACUGGACUGCAACGUGGGACACCGUGGGAUUCCAUUGGUCCAGUAUGGAUCUCCAAAAGCCGCGAAAAGAAUUUUGGAUGAUCUACACUGGACU
rnacentral:misc_RNA from 1 species